GGGUUGUGAGGUUAAGCGACUAAGCGUACACGGUGGAUGCCCUGGCAGUCAGAGGCGAUGAAGGGCGUGCUAAUCUGCGAUAAGCGCCGGUAAGGUGAUAUGAACCGUUAUAACCGGCGAUACCCGAAUGGGGAAACCCAGUGUGAUUCGUCACACUAUCAUUAACUGAAUCCAUAGGUUAAUGAGGCGAACCGGGGGAACUGAAACAUCUAAGUACCCCGAGGAAAAGAAAUCAACCGAGAUUCCCCCAGUAGCGGCGAGCGAACGGGGAGGAGCCCAGAGCCUGAAUCAGCAUGUGUGUUAGUGGAAGCGUCUGGAAAGGCGCGCGAUACAGGGUGACAGCCCCGUACACAAAAGCGCAUGUGCUGUGAGCUCGAUGAGUAGGGCGGGACACGUGGUAUCCUGUCUGAAUAUGGGGGGACCAUCCUCCAAGGCUAAAUACUCCUGACUGACCGAUAGUGAACCAGUACCGUGAGGGAAAGGCGAAAAGAACCCCGGCGAGGGGAGUGAAAAAGAACCUGAAACCGUGUACGUACAAGCAGUGGGAGCACCCUUCGGGGUGUGACUGCGUACCUUUUGUAUAAUGGGUCAGCGACUUAUAUUCUGUAGCAAGGUUAACCGUAUAGGGGAGCCGGAGGGAAACCGAGUCUUAAUUGGGCGUUAAGUUGCAGGGUAUAGACCCGAAACCCGGUGAUCUAGCCAUGGGCAGGUUGAAGGUUGGGUAACACUAACUGGAGGACCGAACCGACUAAUGUUGAAAAAUUAGCGGAUGACCUGUGGCUGGGGGUGAAAGGCCAAUCAAACCGGGAGAUAGCUGGUUCUCCCCGAAAGCUAUUUAGGUAGCGCCUCGUGAAUUCAUCUCCGGGGGUAGAGCACUGUUUCGGCUAGGGGGCCAUCCCGGCUUACCAACCCGAUGCAAACUGCGAAUACCGGAGAAUGUUAUCACGGGAGACACACGGCGGGUGCUAACGUCCGUCGUGAAGAGGGAAACAACCCAGACCGCCAGCUAAGGUCCCAAAGUCAUGGUUAAGUGGGAAACGAUGUGGGAAGGCCCAGACAGCCAGGAUGUUGGCUUAGAAGCAGCCAUCAUUUAAAGAAAGCGUAAUAGCUCACUGGUCGAGUCGGCCUGCGCGGAAGAUGUAACGGGGCUAAACCAUGCACCGAAGCUGCGGCAGCGAACGUAUCACCCAAGACAACUUUACGGAGUUGACGAUUGACGGAGCGAAGCGACGUCAAAGCGUUCAUUAAAGUCGAGUUGGCUUAGGGAUACGUUCGUUGGGUAGGGGAGCGUUCUGUAAGCCUGUGAAGGUGUGUCGUGAGGCAUGCUGGAGGUAUCAGAAGUGCGAAUGCUGACAUAAGUAACGAUAAAGCGGGUGAAAAGCCCGCUCGCCGGAAGACCAAGGGUUCCUGUCCAACGUUAAUCGGGGCAGGGUGAGUCGACCCCUAAGGCGAGGCCGAAAGGCGUAGUCGAUGGGAAACGGGUUAAUAUUCCCGUACUUGGUGUUACUGCGAAGGGGGGACGGAGAAGGCUAUGUUGGCCGGGCGACGGUUGUCCCGGUUUAAGCGUGUAGGUGUGUGUUCCAGGUAAAUCCGGUUCACUUUAACACUGAGGCGUGACGACGAGGCACUACGGUGCUGAAGCAACAAAUGCCCUGCUUCCAGGAAAAGCCUCUAAGCAUCAGGUAACAC
rnacentral:rRNA from 1 species